rnacentral:lncRNA from 1 species
UUGGCUUCCUUCCACUUCAUUUCCAACACCUUCACUUUUGGAUGGCAGCUUUCUGUUUCCAUACUUCAACUUUAAAAAUGUGAUGAACCCUAGGAAGAGCUGUGAUGGAACAGAGACAGAUGCCAGGCAAGAACAGUCCAUGUUCAUCACUGUCAUUUCUCUGGACUUGUACUAUGUACUUUGGCAAAUGACAGCAAGUACUCACUGGAUCACCUCAGUGACUUCGAGGGCAUGGGUGUGUCACUCACCAAAGCAUGCUUCCAGCCCAGGUCUUCUUGCCCACAGGGCAAAUCCAACCCAGAAGCCAGAACUAUAGAAACAAAAUAUUGUGUGGAAAGUGGCCCUCUUUCCUGAUGCCAUUGUUCUUCUCUGGCUGUUGCCUCUUCUGGGCCUGUGGGGACUAAGCAUGGGGUCAGUCAGCAGGCCUUGGGUCCAUCUAGACAAGUAAGACUGGGAAAUCUAGGUCUGGGGAUCCUGAGACAUUUUCUUCCAGGAGCCUGUCCCAGCAGUGUGGGCAUCCAUUGUACCAAGCCUGCUUUCCUAGAAAGAGUGAUAACCUGAGAGAAGGCAGGGGAAAGAGGUCCAAUGUCUGCUGCCCUGCCAGGGAAGCCCAGGCUGACGAAUCUCUUCCUAGUGGAAAGCUGACCUUCCUCUAUGCUCCUAGGUCCUGAAACUGGAUGCUCACAGUAACAGAGGUGAAAUUGGCAACCUUGAGGUUCUUCGCCUUCUGAACUUAUGGAUGUCACACUUUUUAGGAAGAUGUCUAGAAUCUCACUCCACUCCCACAUAUGCCUGUCACUUGAGCUCAAGGUUUGUCUGCCUGGAGACAUGUGUGAAUUGAGAGAUGGACAGGAGCUGCAUUUACCCCACUCCCCUCUCACACCACACCACUAAAAGCUUGUCUCAGCUUUCUGGCAUCCACAGAAAGUCAAAUGGAAACUUGCUAUUUCCACUGGUCACACCAAUGCCAUGUCACCCCUGAGCAGGAGUAGUCACAUCUCGGGCAAAAGAAUUUUGAUUACAAGAAAACUCCACUUUAAAAUGCCAGCUACAAAUCAUAUAAAGCCAUCCCUUUUUUCUAAAGGGCAUAUUGAGAAUGUUUCCCAUUUGUAAAUUGUUCCCUGAUGUCCUUGUUUAAACAACCACAGCAAAAGGGCAACUUGGUUUGCUGAGGGUCUCUGUGUUCUUCAAUAAUUAAUCAAAAUGUGGAGUAUUGUGACUGAAGCGGGUCAGCUGUGUCCAGCUAUGCUCAUGGGCUUCUUGUCAUCCUCUGUUGUAGACAUACACAUAGAGCAAAUGGCCAUUAUGUAUUAAAAAGCCAACCCUCAAUGAUGCUGUGUAAAGUUGCCUGAUGUCAAUGUCAAUUGUGUGAUAUCCAGGCUGCCUUUGUGCUGAGCUGUGGGGUUCAGAAAAGGCCCUGGGAACCCACAUCAUCUGUUCUGGUUCUUGUACAGUCUUCAGGCCGAGAGACCUGUCUCAUCGGAAGCUUCUCUUUAUAAAGCAUUAUACUAUAUGGAAUGGCUUGGCCAACUGUGUUCAGUUCAUAAAUAUGUUUUACAUUUUUAUCUGCCUGUUAUAAAGAUGAACAAAAUAUCUUAAUGAGGAAGAGCGCAGAUGAAUAAUAAAUUAAAAUCUGUAGUUGAAUUUCCUAAUUUACACAAUAGACCAAAAUUUUUGUGUAUAAAAAAUGAAUGGGUCUGAGUCACAUGUAUAAUUUAUUAUUUGGUAACUUCCUAUGUGGAACCAAACAAAGGUAAUUUGCAUGCCAUUGAGCCAGGGCAGGAGAAGCCACAGGCAUGACCUUCUCUAUGCCUGCUGCCACAAUGGAUUCUAUGGCAAGAAAGAGCACAGACCCUGUUGGCAAGAGAUACUCCACCUGUGCUGCCUCCCAGCAACUGGUUUGACCAGGUAAAACCUGAUGAAAAUAUUCAGGCCACUGUCCUUGCAUGGGGCAGUAGAAGAGUUGUGACAAUUCUGUCUUCAGAACUUUUUCAACUUUUCAAAUUAAACUCCAUGCCAUUUACCACCAACUUCCCACUUCUCUUCCCUAGUCUCCUGUUCUGUUGUCUGUUAGCUGCAACAUUCUCAUAUAAGGUCUCUCCUAGAAGUAGGAUAGAAGUAUUUGUCCUUUUAUGACUGGCUCAUUUCACUGAGCAUCAUGUCCUGAAAGGUCAUCCAUGCUUUAGCAGGUGUAAACCUUCAGUUUUUUUUAAGACUGGAAAAGAUUUCAUGGCUUGCACAGACAUGCUGUGAUUAGCCACAUAAUCACAAAUGCUUGCACUGCUCCCACAUUGACAUUGUGACUAAUGCUACUGUGAACCUGGGUACACAAACUGUUCUUUGAGACUUGUUUUCUUUGGGAAUUGAUAUAUACACAGCUACAAGGUU